GGUUAAGCGACUAAGCGUACACGGUGGAUGCCCUGGCAGUCAGAGGCGAUGAAGGACGUGCUAAUCUGCGAAAAGCGCCGGCGAGGUGAUAUGAACCCUUGACCCGGCGAUGUCCGAAUGGGGAAACCCAGUGUGUUUCGACACACUAUCGUUAACUGAAUACAUAGGUUAACGAGGCGAACCGGGGGAACUGAAACAUCUAAGUACCCCGAGGAAAAGAAAUCAACCGAGAUUCCCCCAGUAGCGGCGAGCGAACGGGGAGCAGCCCGGAGUCUGAAUCAGCUUGUGUGUUAGUGGAACGGUCUGGAAAGUCCGACGGUACAGGGUGAUAGUCCCGUACACGAAAAUGCACAGGUUGUGAACUCGAAGAGUAGGGCGGGACACGUGGUAUCCUGUCUGAAUAUGGGGGGACCAUCCUCCAAGGCUAAAUACUCCUGACUGACCGAUAGUGAACCAGUACCGUGAGGGAAAGGCGAAAAGAACCCCGGCGAGGGGAGUGAAAAAGAACCUGAAACCGUGUACGUACAAGCAGUGGGAGCACCUUCGGGUGUGACUGCGUACCUUUUGUAUAAUGGGUCAGCGACUUAUAUUCUGUAGCAAGGUUAACCGUAUAGGGGAGCCGAAGGGAAACCGAGUCUUAACUGGGCGUUAAGUUGCAGGGUAUAGACCCGAAACCCGGUGAUCUAGCCAUGGGCAGGUUGAAGGUUGGGUAACACUAACUGGAGGACCGAACCGACUAAUGUUGAAAAAUUAGCGGAUGACCUGUGGCUGGGGGUGAAAGGCCAAUCAAACCGGGAGAUAGCUGGUUCUCCCCGAAAGCUAUUUAGGUAGCGCCUCGUGAACUCAUCUUCGGGGGUAGAGCACUGUUUCGGCUAGGGGGCCAUCCCGGCUUACCAACCCGAUGCAAACUACGAAUACCGAAGAAUGUUAUCACGGGAGACACACGGCGGGUGCUAACGUCCGUCGUGAAGAGGGAAACAACCCAGACCGCCAGCUAAGGUCCCAAAGUCAUGGUUAAGUGGGAAACGAUGUGGGAAGGCACAGACAGCCAGGAUGUUGGCUUAGAAGCAGCCAUCAUUUAAAGAAAGCGUAAUAGCUCACUGGUCGAGUCGGCCUGCGCGGAAGAUGUAACGGGGCUAAACCAUGCACCGAAGCUGCGGCAGCGACACUAUGUGUUGUUGGGUAGGGGAGCGUUCUGUAAGCCGUUGAAGGUGUGCUGUGAGGCAUGCUGGAGGUAUCAGAAGUGCGAAUGCUGACAUAAGUAACGAUAAAGCGGGUGAAAAGCCCGCUCGCCGGAAGACCAAGGGUUCCUGUCCAACGUUAAUCGGGGCAGGGUGAGUCGACCCCUAAGGCGAGGCCGAAAGGCGUAGUCGAUGGGAAACAGGUUAAUAUUCCUGUACUUGGUGUUACUGCGAAGGGGGGACGGAGAAGGCUAUGUCAGCCGGGCGACGGUUGUCCCGGUUUAAGCAUGUAGGCGGAGGUUCCAGGUAAAUCCGGUACCUUUUAACGCUGAGGUGUGAUGACGAGGCACUACGGUGCUGAAGUGAUAAAUGCCCUGCUUCCAGGAAAAGCCUCUAAGCAUCAGGUAACACGAAAUCGUACCCCAAACCGACACAGGUGGUCAGGUAGAGAAUACCAAGGCGCUUGAGAGAACUCGGGUGAAGGAACUAGGCAAAAUGGUGCCGUAACUUCGGGAGAAGGCACGCUGAUAUGUAGGUGAAGUCCCUGCGGACGGAGCUGAAAUCAGUCGAAGAUACCAGCUGGCUGCAACUGUUUAUUAAAAACACAGCACUGUGCAAACACGAAAGUGGACGUAUACGGUGUGACGCCUGCCCGGUGCCGGAAGGUUAAUUGAUGGGGUUAGCGGCAACGCGAAGCUCUUGAUCGAAGCCCCGGUAAACGGCGGCCGUAACUAUAACGGUCCUAAGGUAGCGAAAUUCCUUGUCGGGUAAGUUCCGACCUGCACGAAUGGCGUAAUGAUGGCCAGGCUGUCUCCACCCGAGACUCAGUGAAAUUGAACUCGCUGUGAAGAUGCAGUGUACCCGCGGCAAGACGGAAAGACCCCGUGAACCUUUACUAUAGCUUGACACUGAACACUGGUCCUUGAUGUGUAGGAUAGGUGGGAGGCUUUGAAGCGUGGACGCCAGUCUGCGUGGAGCCAUCCUUGAAAUACCACCCUUUAAUGGCUGGUGUUCUAACGUAGACCCGUGAUCCGGGUUGCGGACAGUGUCUGGUGGGUAGUUUGACUGGGGCGGUCUCCUCCCAAAGAGUAACGGAGGAGCACGAAGGUUGGCUAAUCCUGGUCGGACAUCAGGAGGUUAGUGCAAUGGCAUAAGCCAGCUUGACUGCGAGCGUGACGGCGCGAGCAGGUGCGAAAGCAGGUCAUAGUGAUCCGGUGGUUCUGAAUGGAAGGGCCAUCGCUCAACGGAUAAAAGGUACUCCGGGGAUAACAGGCUGAUACCGCCCAAGAGUUCAUAUCGACGGCGGUGUUUGGCACCUCGAUGUCGGCUCAUCACAUCCUGGGGCUGAAGUAGGUCCCAAGGGUAUGGCUGUUCGCCAUUUAAAGUGGUACGCGAGCUGGGUUUAGAACGUCGUGAGACAGUUCGGUCCCUAUCUGCCGUGGGCGCUGGAGAAUUGAGGGGGGCUGCUCCUAGUACGAGAGGACCGGAGUGGACGCAUCACUGGUGUUCGGGUUGUCAUGCCAAUGGCACUGCCCGGUAGCUAAAUGCGGAAGAGAUAAGUGCUGAAAGCAUCUAAGCACGAAACUUGCCCCGAGAUGAGUUCUCCCUGAGACUUUAAGUCUCCUGAAGGAACGUUGAAGACGACGACGUUGAUAGGUCGGGUGUGUAAGCGCAGCGAUGCGUUGAGCUAACCGAUACUAAUGAACCGUGAGGCUUAACCUU
rnacentral:rRNA from 1 species